CCUUACCUGGGCUUAAAUGCUGGACGCCAAUCCCCGAAAGGGGAUUUUCCUUCGGGACGUCCUACAAGGUGCUGCAUGGUUGUCGUCAGCUCGUGCCGUGAGGUGUCGGGUUAAGUCCCAUAACGAGCGCAACCCCUAUUCUUAGUUGCCAUCAGGUAAUGCUGGGGACUCUAAGGAAACUGCCUACGCAAGUAGUGAGGAAGGUGGGGAUGACGUCAAAUCAGCACGGCCCUUAUGUCCAGGGCUACACACGUGCUACAAUGGCCGGUACAGAGGGAAGCUACCAGGUGACUGGAUGCCAAUCUCGAAAGCCGGUCUCAGUUCGGAUUGGAGUCUGCAACUCGACUCCAUGAAGCUGGAAUCGCUAGUAGUCGCACAUCAGCCAUGGCGCGGUGAAUACGUUCCC
rnacentral:rRNA from 1 species